CCGCAAACUGCAACCGCUGGCACCUUAGAAAACGUUAGCCAAACUAAUCACAGCCCUCCAGAUAAAGAAACUGUCUGGGGGGCUGU
rnacentral:sRNA from 1 species